GAUUCCCCCAGUAGCGGCGAGCGAACGGGGAGGAGCCCAGAGCCUGAAUCAGCAUGUGUGUUAGUGGAAGCGUCUGGAAAGGCGCGCGAUACAGGGUGACAGCCCCGUACACAAAAGCGCAUGUGCUGUGAGCUCGAUGAGUAGGGCGGGACACGUGGUAUCCUGUCUGAAUAUGGGGGGACCAUCCUCCAAGGCUAAAUACUCCUGACUGACCGAUAGUGAACCAGUACCGUGAGGGAAAGGCGAAAAGAACCCCGGCGAGGGGAGUGAAAAAGAACCUGAAACCGUGU
rnacentral:rRNA from 1 species